AAAUAAGAAGUAAAUUUUACAUUUAGUUUCGACCUAAAAAAUUGACUUUAAGUCCUUAUUUA
rnacentral:tRNA from 1 species